rnacentral:rRNA from 1 species
UACGUAGGGUGCAAGCGUUGUCCGGAAUUAUUGGGCGUAAAGAGCUCGUAGGCGGUUUGUCGCGUCUGCUGUGAAAAUCCAGGGCUUAACCCUGGACCUGCAGUGGGUACGGGCAGACUAGAGUGCGGUAGGGGAGAUCGGAAUUCCCGGUGUAGCGGUGAAAUGCGCAGAUAUCGGGAGGAACACCAAUGGCGAAGGCAGCUCGCUGGGACGUGACUGACGCUGAGACGCGAAAGCGUGGGGAGCAAACAGG